ensembl:misc_RNA Metazoa_SRP Metazoan signal recognition particle RNA
GCCGGGUAUUGUAGCGCGUGCCUGUAGUCCCAGCUACUCGGGAGGCUGAGGUGGGAGGAUGGCUUGAACCCAGGAGGUGGAGGUUGCAGUGAGCUGGUUGAGCCACUGCACUCCAGCCUGGGUGACAGAGCCAGACCCUGUCUCAA